GGGGGUCCGGAAGCUGCAGCUGGGGGUCCGGAAGUGUUAGGAGCCUCGCGAAGGGUUGGUGUUCAUCUGCUUGCAGAGGAAAGCCAGACAGAGUAUUUCUCUGUUGCCUGGGCUGGAAUGCAGUGGCGCCAUCAUAACUCACUGCAGCCUCAACCACCUGGACUCAAGCUAUCCUCUCACCUCAGCCUCCCUAGUAGAUGGGACUACAGGUCCAUACCCCUGAACUUCUCAAAUAUUUCCAAUGCUCAUCACUGGGUCUUUUGCAUGGUCAAAAGGGUUGCAGGUGAUUCUUCUGUGUUGUAAAGUUGAAGAGCAGCUUAAUCCACACUUCCUUUUUGGUCUCACUUCUCCCCUUUGUUCCGGUCAAACCCUGACUGCUUCAAAAGGAAAACUGACCCUUCUGAAGAAGACCUUGGAUGUCAGGGGUUUACCCUGUUUACCAAGUGGCAAAAGAACUUCCAUGAAGAUGUUAAGGCAAGGAGUGAAAUGGUCUGAGCAGUGCAGUGAAAGUGACCCCAUCUUACGGCGUGCCCAGUGGAUGGAAGUGAAGCCAAAUGACUGCUUAAGAAGCAACUGCCAAAAAUAGGACGGUGGCAGAGAGGAAGAAAUAAAGAGCAGGGAUGAGAGAUAUGUCAGAGUUGGGACCCACACAACUCUAGUUGAUGUGGGGUGGUGGCAUGGAGGAGAGGAAGAAUGUGAUCACUACCAUUGUCUCAAAUUUGGAAAGAAUCCAAAACAAAGGGAUGCGUGUGUUCACCUUGGGCAGGAAGAACUGAGGACCUGGGGUGUGGGUGUGUGGAGUUCAAGGUGAUCCGAGGAGAUGAAGAGGUUCAUCAGGCAGAUGAAAACUCAGAAGUUUUUGAGAUGAGACCCGAGGUCCUGAUGGUGGGCUCUGAUUUCACAGCCCUCUGCCUGGGAGUGAUGGUUGGAGUCGCUGGCUCCUGUGCAGGUGUUGUGCGUGAGUGGCUUCCCAUUAAAGGUUAACUGCAUAAACACCAUUGACUUAAAAAAAAAAAAAAAGGGUAUCCGAAAACACCGGUAAAAGGAGUUUUGGACUCACAUCCAGUUAAAUAAAGAACAAAGAUUGCUAGCUGGUUAAACUAAAAAGUUACUUAAAAGAUUACUAAAAAGUUACUUAAAAGUUAAUGAAAUCAGUUUUGAAACACUGAGAUUUUCCUAUAGAUUAGAAGGAUCGUAAUUGAAGUUAAUUAUAGUCAUGCUAGAUUUCCUCUCUGAUGUUUAUUUUUCUUCUGGUUAUAUUUCAGACAAUUAAUAGCUCCUAAUGACUCAGGGUUCCAAGUAAUUACCACCAACACUUAUAAUCUGUCUUAUUGGAAUGUUCUCUUCACGCGGGGGCUCUGAAACUGAAGGAAAUUUGUGAUUGUUCAUGAAAGUCCUUCCAUAGGUUGUUAAAAAAAUCAGACUUUAAAAUAAAUGUAUUCUUCAUUUA
rnacentral:lncRNA from 1 species